GACAGAGGGUGCAAACGUUGUUCGGAAUUACUGGGCGUAAAGCGCGCGUAGGCGGCUACUUAAGUCGGAUGUGAAAGCCCUUGGCUCAACUGAGGAAGUGCACCCGAAACUGAGUGGCUAGAGUACGAAAGAGGGUCGCGGAAUUCCCGGUGUAGAGGUGAAAUUCGUAGAUAUCGGGAGGAACACCGGUGGCGAAGGCGGCGACCUGGGUCGAUACUGACGCUGAUGCGCGAAAGCUAGGGGAGCAAACAGG
rnacentral:rRNA from 1 species